rnacentral:rRNA from 1 species
UACGUAGGGUGCAAGCGUUGUCCGGAAUUAUUGGGCGUAAAGAGCCCGUAGGCGGUUCGUCGCGUCGGCUGUGAAAACCCGGAGCUCAACUCCGGGCCUGCAGUCGAUACGGGCGGACUAGAGUUCGGCAGGGGAGACUGGAAUUCCUGGUGUAGCGGUGAAAUGCGCAGAUAUCAGGAAGAACACCCGUGGCGAAGGCGGCUCUCUGGAACGCAACUGACGCUGAGACGCGAAAGCGUGGGGAGCAAACAGG